rnacentral:rRNA from 1 species
AUUGAACGCUGGCGGCAUGCCUUACACAUGCAAGUCGAACGGCAGCACGGGAGCAAUCCUGGUGGCGAGUGGCGAACGGGUGUGUAAUACAUCGGAACGUGCCCAAUCGUGGGGGAUAACGCAGCGAAAGCUGUGCUAAUACCGCAUAAGAUCUACGGAUGAAAGCAGGGGACCGCAAGGCCUUGCGCGAAUGGAGCGGC